CCUACGGGUGGCAGCAGUGAGGAAUAUUGGUCAAUGGACGAGAGUCUGAACCAGCCAAGUAGCGUGAAGGAUGACUGCCCUAUGGGUUGUAAACUUCUUUUAUCUGGGAAUAAAAUGUUCCACGUGUGGGAUUUUGUAUGUACCAUAAGAAUAAGGAUCGGCUAACUCCGUGCCAGCAGCCGCGGUAAUACGGAGGAUCCGAGCGUUAUCCGGAUUUAUUGGGUUUAAAGGGAGCGUAGGUGGAUUGUUAAGUCAGUUGUGAAAGUUUGGGGCUCAACCGUAAAAUUGCAGUUGAAACUGGCAGUCUUGAGUACAGUAGAGGUGGGCGGAAUGCGUGGUGUAGCGGUGAAAUGCUUAGAUAUCACGAAGAACUCCGAUUGCGAAGGCAGUUCACUGGACUGCAACUGACACUGAGGCUCGAAAGUGUGGGUAUCAAACAGGAUUAGAUACCCUUGUAGUC
rnacentral:rRNA from 1 species